GACAGAGGGUGCAAACGUUGUUCGGAAUUACUGGGCGUAAAGCGAGUGUAGGCGGCUUUGCAAGUCGGGUGUGAAAGCCCCUCAGCUCAACUGAGGAAGUGCGCCCCGAAACUGCAGAGCUUGAGUGCCGGAGAGGGUGGCGGAAUUCCCCAAGUAGAGGUGAAAUUCGUAGAUAUGGGGAGGAACACCGGUGGCGAAGGCGGCCACCUGGACGGUAACUGACGCUGAGGCACGAAAGCUAGGGGAGCAAACAGG
rnacentral:rRNA from 1 species